GAGUUUGAUCAUGGCUCAGGAUGAACGCUAGCGGCAGGCUUAACACAUGCAAGUCGAGGGGUAUAGUUCUUCGGAAUUAGAGACCGGCGCACGGGUGCGUAACGCGUAUGCAAUCUACCUUUCACAGAGGGAUAGCCCAGAGAAAUUUGGAUUAAUACCUCAUAGUAUAACGAUUCCGCAUGGAGAUGUUAUUAAAGUCACAACGGUGAAAGAUGAGCAUGCGUCCCAUUAGCUAGUUGGUAAGGUAACGGCUUACCAAGGCUACGAUGGGUAGGGGUCCUGAGAGGGAGAUCCCCCACACUGGUACUGAGACACGGACCAGACUCCUACGGGAGGCGGCAGUGAGGAAUAUUGGACAAUGGGCGCAAGCCUGAUCCAGCCAUGCCGCGUGCAGGAUGACGGUCCUAUGGAUUGUAAACUGCUUUUGCACAGGAAGAAACAACGCUACGUGUAGCGUCUUGACGGUACUGUGAGAAUAAGGAUCGGCUAACUCCGUGCCAGCAGCCGCGGUAAUACGGAGGAUCCAAGCGUUAUCCGGAAUCAUUGGGUUUAAAGGGUCCGUAGGCGGUUUAGUAAGUCAGUGGUGAAAGCCCAUCGCUCAACGGUGGAACGGCCAUUGAUACUGCUAGACUUGAAUUAUU
rnacentral:rRNA from 1 species